AGAACGGAACUAGCUUGCUAGUUUGUCAGCUAAGUGGCGCACGGGUGAGUAAUAUAUAGUUAAUCUGCCCCAAAGAAGAGAAUAAUUGUUGGAAACGACUUGUAAUGCUCUAUAUGCCUUUAAGACAUAAGUCUGCAAGGGAAAUAUUUAUAGCUUUGGGAUGAGACUGUACGGUAUCAGCUUGUUGGUGAGGUAAUGGCUCACCAAGGCUAUGACAUCUAACUGGUUUGAGAGGAUGAUCAGUCACACUGGAACUGAGACACGGUCCAGACUCCUACGGGAGGCAGCAGUGGGGAAUAUUGCACAAUGGACGAAAGUCUGAUGCAGCAACGCCGCGUGGAGGAUGACACAUUUCGGUGCGUAAACUCCUUUUAUAUGAGAAGAUAAUGACGGUAUCAUAUGAAUAAGCACCGGCUAACUUCGUGCCAGCAGCCGCGGUAAUACGAGGGGUGCAAGCGUUACUCGGAAUCACUGGGCGUAAAGAGCAUGUAGGCGGGUUUGUAAGUUGGAAGUGAAAUCCUAUGGCUCAACCAUAGAACUGCUUCCAAAACUGCUUACCUAGAGUAUGGGAGAGGUAGAUGGAAUUUCUGGUGUAGGGGUAAAAUCCGUAGAGAUCAGAAGGAAUACCGAUUGCGAAGGCGAUCUACUGGAACAUUACUGACGCUAAGAUGCGAAAGCGUGGGGAGCAAACAGGAUUAGAUACCCUGGUAGUCCACGCCCUAAACGAA
rnacentral:rRNA from 1 species